GGGAGUAUUGCCUUGAAAGAAUCCCAGCGGCUUCCCCAAAGUCUCCUCCUUCUAGAAUCAUCUACGGUUCAGGGGCCAGGGGAGAGCAAAGAGAUUCUGAAGUUCUCGUGGCAUAUCCUGUGCCAGCUUCUGAAGACUCGAAGGGUCCCAGCUAGAACACUGAGCAGAACUUCUGGAUGCAGACUGGCUCCAGUGUUCCCCAGGUCAAAAAUGGCCGAAGGUCAGUGAUUCCAUGUGAUGGUACCAGAAUCAGCUAACAAGAAGGAGUGUGGGAGUGUUUUGAAAAUGGCUACAUGUCGUGCUGAUGCGAGAGGCGAGCUAAUUCUACAGGUAGUCACCGAACGUCGCCGAGGUGCUGGUGCUGGGCUGAGUCGGCACGUUAACGCGGACAUCACUCAAUCCUUGCAGCAACCCCAAGGACGGAUGCAAGUAAUCUUCAUUCUGCGGAUAAGGAAACUGAAGCUCGUGUGGCCAAAAUCACGCACUCUAGGACAUUUGCCUGGGAUGUGUAGCAGCCCGGAUUUGAACCCAGGGAGUCUGGCUUCAGAACCCAAGCUCU